UGUAAGCGUAUACCAAAGUUGUUGCAGUUAAAACGCUCGUAGUCGGAAUUUGGCAGUUCCGGAAGUGUGCACGUCGUGUGCGCACUUUGCGGGGACUGCUUUUGUGGUCUUGCGUAGGAUGAGGCACUUUUAUUAGUGAACGUCCUCACGCAACCACUUUUUACUGUGAGAAAAUCAGAGUGCUCAAAGCAGGCAUUUGCCGUGAAUGUAUUAGCAUGGAAUAAUAGAAUAGGACUUGGUUCUAUUUUGUUGGUUUGUUGGGACUGAGUAAUGAUUAAGAGGGACAGUUGGGGGCAUUUGUAUUUCGGUGCUAGAGGUGAAAUUCUUAGAUUACCGAAAGACAAACUGCUGCGAAAGCGUCUGCCAAGGAUGUUUUCAUUGA
rnacentral:rRNA from 1 species